GGACACUAUGGGACAAGGAGAGGGGGGCACACUAUGGGACAAGGAGAGAGGGGCACACUAUGGGACAAGGGGAGGGGGGACACUAUGGGACAAGGGGAGGGGGGACACAAUGGGACUGGGAGAGGGGGGGACACUAUGGAACAAGGGGAUGGGGGACACUAUAUGACAAGGGGAGGGGAGACACUAUGGGAGGGAAAGUGCACUAUGGGACAAGGGUGGGAACACUAUGGGAUGAGAACACUAUUGGACAAGGGGAGGAGGGGUUAAAGAACACUAUGGGACAGGGGAGGAGG